rnacentral:rRNA from 1 species
UACGAGGGGGGCAAGCGUUGUUCGGAAUUAUUGGGCGUAAAGGGUGCGUAGGCGGUUUGGUAAGUCUUAUGGUGAAAUCUACAGGCUCAACUUGUAGUCUGCAUGAGAAACUGCCGGGCUUGAGUAUGGGAGAGGUGAGUGGAAUUCCUGGGUGUAGCGGUGAAAUGCGUAGAUAUCAGGAGGAACACCUGUGGCGAAAGCGGCUCACUGGACCAUAACUACGCUGAUGCACGAAAGCUAGGGGGAGCGAAAUGGG